rnacentral:rRNA from 1 species
GACGGAGGAUGCAAGCGUUAUCCGGAAUUAUUGGGCGUAAAGCGUCCGUAGGCGGUUAUAAAAGUCUGUUGUUAAAGCUCACAGCUCAACUGUGAAUGGGCGAUGGAAACUAUAUGACUAGAGAGUGGUAGGGGUAGAGGGAAUUCCUAGUGUAGCGGUGAAAUGCGUAGAUAUUAGGAAGAACACCAGUGGCGAAGGCGCUCUACUGGGCCAUUACUGACGCUGAUGGACGAAAGCUAGGGGAGCGAAAGGG